rnacentral:rRNA from 1 species
CCCUACAUGUGACGUAUACGGUGUGACACCUGCCCGGUGCCGGAAGGUUAAUUGAUGGGGUUAGUUUUCGGACGAAGCUCUUGAUCGAAGCCCCGGUAAACGGCGGCCGUAACUAUAACGGUCCUAAGGUAGCGAAAUUCCUUGUCGGGUAAGUUCCGACCUGCACGAAUGGUGUAACCAUGGCCACGCUGUCUCCACCCGAGACUCAGUGAAAUUGAAAUCGCAGUGAAGAUGCUGUGUACCCGCACCUAGACGGAAAGACCCCGUGAACCUUUACUACAGCUUGGCACUGAACAUUGAACCUACAUGUGUAGGAUAGGUGGGAGGCUUUGAAGCACAGUCGCUAGAUUGUGUGGAGCCGUCCUUGAAAUACCACCCUUGUAUGUUUGAUGUUCUAACAUUGUUCCCUUAUCGGGAAUGUGGACAGUGUCUGGUGGGUAGUUUGACUGGGGCGGUCUCCUCCCAAAUAGUAACGGAGGAGCACGAAGGUUAGCUAAUCACGGUCGGACAUCGUGAGGUUAGUGCAAUGGCAUAAGCUAGCUUAACUGCGAGACAGACACGUCGAGCAGGUACGAAAGUAGGUCAUAGUGAUCCGGUGGUUCUGUAUGGAAGGGCCAUCGCUCAACGGAUAAAAGGUACUCCGGGGAUAACAGGCUGAUACCGCCCAAGAGUUCAUAUCGACGGCGGUGUUUGGCACCUCGAUGUCGGCUCAUCACAUCCUGGGGCUGAAGUCGGUCCCAAGGGUAUGGCUGUUCGCCAUUUAAAGUGGUACGCGAGCUGGGUUUAGAACGUCGUGAGACAGUUCGGUCCCUAUCUGGUGUGGGCGUUGGAUGAUUGAUGGGAGCUGCUCCUAGUACGAGAGGACCGGAGUGGACGAACCGCUGGUGUUCGGGUUGUCAUGCCAAUGGCAUUGCCCGGUAGCUAUGUUCGGAACGGAUAACCGCUGAAAGCAUCUAAGCGGGAAGCCGGCCCAAAGAUGAGUCAUCCCUGACCUUUAAGGUCUGGAAGGGUUGUUAUAGACGAUGACGUUGAUAGGCAGGGUGUGGAAGCGUUGUAAGGCGUUAAGCUAACCUGUACUAAUUGCCCGAGAGGCUUAACCAU